rnacentral:rRNA from 1 species
GACGAACNCUGGCGGCGUGCCUAAUACAUGCAAGUAGAACGCUGAAGGAAGGAGCUUGCUCUUUCCGNGAUGAGUUGCGAACNGGGUGAGUAACGNNGUAGGUAACCUNGCCUGGUAGCGGGGGGAUAACCAUUGGAAACGAUAGCUAAUACCGCAUAACAGUAGAUAUCGCAUGAUAACUACUUGAAAGGUGCAAUUGCACCACUACCAGAUGGACCUGCGUUGUAUUAGCUAGUUGGUGAGGUAACGGCUCACCAAGGCAACGAUACAUAGCCGACCUGAGAGGGUGAUCGGCCACACUGGGACUGAGACACGGCCCAGACUCCUACGGGAGGCAGCAGUAGGGAAUCUUCGGCAAUGGACGGAAGUCUGACCGAGCAACGCCGCGUGAGUGAAGAAGGUUUUCGGAUCGUAAAGCUCUGUUGUAAGAGAAGAACGAGUGUGAGAGUGGAAAGUUCACACUGUGACGGUAUCUUACCAGAAAGGGACGGCUAACUACGUGCCAGCAGCCGCGGUAAUACGUAGGUCCCGAGCGUUGUCCGGAUUUAUUGGGCGUAAAGCGAGCGCAGGCGGUUAGAUAAGUCUGAAGUUAAAGGCUGUGGCUUAACCAUAGUACGCUUUGGAAACUGUUUAACUUGAGUGCAAGAGGGGAGAGUGGAAUUCCAUGUGUAGCGGUGAAAUGCGCAGAUAUAUGGAGGAACACCGGUGGCGAAAGCGGCUCUCUGGCUUGUAACUGACGCUGAGGCUCGAAAGCGUGGGGAGCAAACAGG